rnacentral:misc_RNA from 1 species
UACAGAGGGUGCGAGCGUUAAUCGGAUUUACUGGGCGUAAAGCGUGCGUAGGCGGCUCUUUGAGUCGGAUGUGAAAUCCCCGAGCUUAACUUGGGAACUGCAUUCAGAACUGGCUGGUUAGAGUACGAGAGAGGGUAGUGGAAUUUCCUGUGUAGCGGUGAAAUGCAUAGAUAUUACAUAGAAUACCGAUUGCGAAGGCAGAUCACUAAUAAUUUACUGACGCUGAGGGACGAAAGCGUAGGUAGCGAACAGG